rnacentral:rRNA from 1 species
UACGUAGGGUGCAAGCGUUAAUCGGAAUUACUGGGCGUAAAGCGUGCGCAGGCGGUUUGUUAAGCCAGAUGUGAAAGCCCCGGGCUCAACCUGGGAACUGCGUUUGGUACUGGCAAGCUAGAGUACGGCAGAGGGGGGUGGAAUUCCACGUGUAGCAGUGAAAUGCGUAGAGAUGUGGAGGAACACCGAUGGCGAAGGCAGCCCCCUGGGCCGAUACUGACGCCUCAGGCACGAAAGCGUGGGGAGCAAACAGG